rnacentral:rRNA from 1 species
GAGACCCACGCCAACAGUUGCCAGCACGUUCUCCGGAAUGGUGGGGACACUGUUGGGACCGCCUCUGCUAAAGAGGAGGAAGGAAUGGGCAACGGUAGGUCGGCAUGCCCCGAAUUACCCGGGCUACACGCGGGCUACAAUGGACAGGACAAUGGGAAUCGACACCGAGAGGUGAAGGCAAUCCCCUAAACCUGCCCUUAGUUCGGAUUGUGGGCUGCAACUCGCCCACAUGAAGCUGGAAUCCGUAGUAAUCGCGGAUCAACAUUCCGCGGUGAAUAU